rnacentral:rRNA from 1 species
GUACCUACGGGGGGCAGCAGUGGGGAAUUUUGCGCAAUGGGGGAAACCCUGACGCAGCAACGCCGCGUGAGUGAAGAAGGUUUUCGGAUUGUAAAGCUCUGUUAGCAGGGAAGAGGAAGGACGGUACCUGCAGAGGAAGCCACAGCUAACUACGUGCCAGCAGCCGCGGUAAUACGUAGGCGGCAAGCGUUGUCCGGAUUUAUUGGGCGUAAAGCGAGUGCAGGCGGUUCAAUAAGUCUGAUGUGAAAGCCUUCGGCUCAACCGGAGAAUUGCAUCAGAAACUUUUGAACUU